rnacentral:lncRNA from 1 species
CUAAAGACCCACUUUUAGAUCUUCUCUGGGCCUUGGGAGAAACAUGUGACAAGUGAAUGUAUGUCUGUGCCUGGAGAGCUGAUGGUAUAAUAGUUUACCUUGGCUUAGCAUUCGUUCGGCAGCGCACACUGACCUGCAGUUUCCCUUCACUGACAGAUUACUGCAAAGUGGACAUGAGCCCUGAUUCUCUCCCUGUUGUAUUUUAGCAGCCAGUUUUCAUACUGAAAAUAAUAUCCAAAUUAUAAGACAUGUGAAGGCUGUUGGUAUUGUGCAUAUUUUUAGGUAAGCUGACCUUUAACAAAAAGAAUCUGCUAAAUGAAUUUGGAAAUGAUGAAUACCAACUCAAGAGGGCAGAAAGGCAGAAUCCUGUCAUUUGAAUUGUGAAUUUGAAGUUGGUCAAACAGGCUCUUAAGGGAAAUCCAUGAAUGACAUGAUUUGGGUGGUACUGGUUUUUAUAUAUAGGUCAUGCUGUCUAAGUGCCAUUUGAUGCCAGAUCCUUCUCACAGAUAAAUCUCACAGCUACAGACCCUGGCUGGUCAACUCAGUUCUUCACUCUCUUCUAGUUGCAGCUGAAGCAGUUGAUAUACUGGAUUUACACCUUAAAAGAUAGGACAUUGGCUGUGAAGUUAGGGAAUGGGGGGAAUUAAUCCUAUAAAGAACUUUCCCAGACAGUCUUUAAUUUCUAAUUUUUUGUAGAAGAAGCUCAUUCAUUUUCAGACGUAUUUUCAUACAUUUUUUUGGGGGGAGGAAUUAACUCAUCAGAAAAUAAUAUCAUUAAGUUUUUUAAUCUUAAAAGCUAACAGAUAAACUGACACAUAACUUAUUGGAUCACCCAAACUAAUUUGCAGAAAUCUUUUGUUUUGUCCUGUAAGACCAAUGCUUAACAUGCAGUCUCUCCUCCUGUGCCCAGAUCAGUAACUCCACUUUGCUUUUCUCUUUAGUCUCCUGAUAGCAGCUAUUGGGUAAUUUCAUUUGGAGGUUGGGGAGGAGGUGAGGAGAAAAUGCUCUUGUUCAGUGGUUUGGUUCCUAUAAAAGGAUGCUGCCUAACCCAGCUCAUCUCUAUGUCCUGUUGACUUUAUUAUUAUUCCAGGUAAUUGAAAGAAAAUAUAAUGGAUGGGCAUCAUUAACACCAGCUCAAAAGUAUAUUCUUGUCUGUAAAGAUUUCUUGUCAAAAUGUCUUGGAUUGCACUUUUGUUGAGGGAAGACUGUGUAAAUAGUUAAAGAAUGUUGAUAAAAUUGAAA